GACGUAGGGCGCGAGCGUUGUCCGGAUUUAUUGGGCGUAAAGGGCUCGUAGGCGGUUUGUCACGUCGGGAGUGAAAACUCAGGGCUCAACCCUGAGCCUGCUUCCGAUACGGGCAGACUAGAGGUAUGCAGGGGAGAGCGGAAUUCCUGGUGUAGCGGUGAAAUGCGCAGAUAUCAGGAGGAACACCGGUGGCGAAGGCGGUUCUCUGGGCAUUACCUGACGCUGAGGAGCGAAAGUGUGGGGAGCGAACAGG
rnacentral:rRNA from 1 species